CAAGCCUUAAGCUCUCAGGUCCCUGCUCCAGGCUGCAGCAGCCAGUGGAAGCACCAACACCAGUAUCACAAAGAGAUGAUGGAUUCAAAAUAACUGCUUUGCUGCUGCUGUAUGUAUCUUGGAGCUGGAUUUUUCUGUGUAGUCUGUGGAAGCUUGUUACCAUGUUAAAUGCCCAGCUUUCAUUAAAUCCACACCUGAAGGAAAAAUAUUUCUAGCA